GAUGAACGCUGGCGGCGUGCCUAAUACAUGCAAGUCGAGCGAACGGACGAGAAGCUUGCUUCUCUGAUGUUAGCGGCGGACGGGUGAGUAACACGUGGAUAACCUACCUAUAAGACUGGGAUAACUUCGGGAAACCGGAGCUAAUACCGGAUGAUAUUUUGAACCGCAUGGUUCAAAAGUGAAAGACGGUCUUGCUGUCACUUAUAGAUGGAUCCGCGCUGCAUUAGCUAGUUGGUAAGGUAACGGCUUACCAAGGCAACGAUGCAUAGCCGACCUGAGAGGGUGAUCGGCCACACUGGAACUGAGACACGGUCCAGACUCCUACGGGAGGCAGCAGUAGGGAAUCUGCCGCAAUGGGCGAAAGCCUGACGGAGCAACGCCGCGUGAGUGAUGAAGGUCUUCGGAUCGUAAAACUCUGUUAUUAGGGAAGCACAUAUGUGUAAGUAACUGUGCACAUCUUGACGGUACCUAAUCAGAAAGCCACGGCUAACUACGU
rnacentral:rRNA from 1 species